rnacentral:rRNA from 1 species
GAUGAACGCUGACAGAAUGCUUAACACAUGCAAGUCCACUUGAACUUCGGUUUGGGUGGCGGACGGGUGAGUAACGCGUAAAGAACUUGCCUCACAGCUAGGGACAACAUUUGGAAACGAAUGCUAAUACCUGAUAUUAUGAUUAUAUGGCAUCGUAUAAUUAUGAAAGCUAUAUGCGCUGUGAGAGAGCUUUGCGUCCCAUUAGCUAGUUGGAGAGGUAACAGCUCACCAAGGCGAUGAUGGGUAGCCGGCCUGAGAGGGUGAUCGGCCACAAGGGGACUGAGACACGGCCCUUACUCCUACGGGAGGCAGCAGUGGGGAAUAUUGGACAAUGGACCGAGAGUCUGAUCCAGCAAUUCUGUGUGCACGAUGAAGUUUUUCGGAAUGUAAAGUGCUUUCAGUUGGGAAGAAAAAAGUGACGGUACCAACAGAAGAAGUGACGGCUAAAUACGUG